GUCUACGGCCAUGCUACCUGAACAAGCCCGAUCCAUCAGAUCUUGGAAGCUAAGCAGGGUUGGGCCUGGUUAGUACUUGGAUGGGAGACCACCUGGGAUGACCAGGUGUUGUAGGCA
rnacentral:rRNA from 1 species